AAAUAUGCAUUUUGAGGACGGAUUUUGCAGCUUUUUAAUGUGGCGUCAGCUCCGCGCUAGAGAUCCUUAUUAAAGCAGUGGCAUCAGGAGAUGGAGACUGCAUCAUAAAAUUGAUCAGUUAGAGUGCGUUGUCGUAGGCUUGUUCAUUAGGAUACGUUGAGGCUUUGCGUGGAGGAAAGUGAUGACAAUGAAGAACAAUUUGGAAGCAGACAGACGUGCGCUUUUCGAUCGGAUAUAGUCUAUAGUGUGUAUU